rnacentral:tRNA from 1 species
GCACCAUUAGCUCAAUUGGUAGAGCAGCGGACUCUUAAUCCGUUGGUUCUAGGUUCGAGUCCUAGAUGGUGUACCA